rnacentral:rRNA from 1 species
AGGCUGAGCUGUGAUGGCGAGCGAAAUAUAGUAGCGAAGUUCCUGAUUCCACACUGCCAAGAAAAGCCUCUAGCGAGGUGAGAGGUGCCCGUACCGCAAACCGACACAGGUAGGCGAGGAGAGAAUCCUAAGGUGAUCGAGAGAACUCUCGUUAAGGAACUCGGCAAAAUGACCCCGUAACUUCGGGAGAAGGGGUGCUCUGUUAGGGUGCAAGCCCGAGAGAGCCGCAGUGAAUAGGCCCAGGCGACUGUUUAGCAAAAACACAGGUCUCUGCGAAGCCGUAAGGCGAAGUAUAGGGGCUGACGCCUGCCCGGUGCUGGAAGGUUAAGAGGAGCGCUUAGCGUAAGCGAAGGUGCGAAUUGAAGCCCCAGUAAACGGCGGCCGUAACAAUAACGGUCCUAAGGUAGCGAAAUUCCUUGUCGGGUAAGUUCCGACCCGCACGAAAGGCGCAACGAUCUGGGCACUGUCUCAACGAGAGACUCGGUGAAAUUAUAGUACCUGUGAAGAUGCAGGUUACCCGCGACAGGACGGAAAGACCCCGUGGAGCUUUACUGCAGCCUGAUAUUGAAUGUUGGUACAGCUUGUACAGGAUAGGUAGGAGCCUUGGAAACCGGAGCGCCAGCUUCGGU